CAUGAAGCUGGAAUCGCUAGUAAUCGCGGAUCAGAAUGCCGCGGUGAAUACGUUCCUGGGUCUUGUACACACCGCCCGUCACACCAUGGGAGUCGGAAAUGCCCGAAGUCUGUGACUCAACCUUAGGGAGGGAGCAGCCGAAGGCAGGUCGGAUGACUGGGGUGAAGUCGUAACAAGGUAGC
rnacentral:rRNA from 1 species